AAUUCUGCUGCCAAACACCCCGUAAGAGCUCUGAGACAUAUGCAGGGAUGGUUGGGGCGAAAUUAGAAUAGGUGCUUAGAUCAGAAAAACAAAAACUCAGCUCAUUCAUUUCUUCAUUUUUCGAUGUCUUCAACUCUUCGUCCAUAGCAAACACAAUAUUUUCAGACCUUUUGUCCUCUUUGUAUUCUGGGUUAGCACUUCUUCACCUUCAUCCUUAAUGCUUCUCCUAUGUUUCUCCUUCUUUUGAGACACCAGUUUGAAGAUUUUGUUUUUGAAUAUAUUGCUUUCUUCGUUUGCCUUCGUUUCACGAUGUUGUGGGGUAAGGAAACCAAAGAAGAAGAAGAGAAUUUAGGGCUUCGAUAAUUUUCCGAAUAUACACUAGUUAUGUAAUGUCAGAAAAGUCUUGGCUUAGAUCCAAAUGAUCCAAUCAUUCUGUUUGUUGUUUUUUUGGGGCUCUUCAGCUACGUUAUGGUAUGAAUUUCUCUUUACUCAAAAGUAAAUUUUGCUAUCUGUAAUAGAUGUCAGAGAUAUGCAGGGCUGUUUAUUGGCUAUGGACAUAUGGAGGUUACUCAGGAGAUCUAACCCCUAAAUCAGCUUUGGAGCUUUAGCUGGGGACUCAAAUGCUGCACUUAUAGAUGUUCGC